ensembl:snRNA U6 U6 spliceosomal RNA
UUGUUUCAGGAGUAAAUAUUUUAAAUUUGGAACAACACAGAGAAGAUUAAGAUGGCCCCUGAACAAGGAUGACACUCAAAUUUGUGAAAUGUUCCAUAUUUUU